UGGGGAAUAUUGCGCAAUGGGGGAACCCUGACGCAGCCAUGCCGCGUGAAUGAAGAAGGCCUUCGGGUUGUAAAGUUCUUUCGGUAUUGAGGAAGGUUGAUGUGUUAAUAGCACAUCAAAUUGACGUUAAAUACAGAAGAAGCACCGGCUAACUCCGUGCCAGCAGCCGCGGUAAUACGGAGGGGGCGAGCGUUAAUCGGAAUAACUGGGCGUAAAGGGCACGCAGGCGGUUAUUUAAGUGAGGUGUGAAAGCCCCGGGCUUAACCUGGGAAUUGCAUUUCAGACUGGGUAACUAGAGUACUUUAGGGAGGGGUAGAAUUCCACGUGUAGCGGUGAAAUGCGUAGAGAUGUGGAGGAAUACCGAAGGCGAAGGCAGCCCCUUGGGAAUGUACUGACGCUCAUGUGCGAAAGCGUGGGGAGCAAACAGGAUUAGAUACCCUGGUAGUCCACGCUGUAAACGCUGUCGAUUUGGGGGUUGGGGUUUAACUCUGGCACCCGUAGCUAACGUGAUAAAUCGACCGCCUGGGGAGUACGGCCGCAAGGUUA
rnacentral:rRNA from 1 species